CAUAUACUCCCUCCGUCCGAAAAUACUUGUCAUCAAAAUGGACAAAAAAGGAUGUAUCUAGAACUAAAAUACAUCUAGAUACAUCCCCUUUUAUUUAUUUUGAUGACAAGUAUUUUCGGACGGAGGGAGUAUGUC
rnacentral:pre_miRNA from 1 species